GAACGGCAGCACGGGGGCAACCCUGGUGGCGAGUGGCGAACGGGUGAGUAAUACAUCGGAACGUGUCCUGUAGUGGGGGAUAGCCCGGCGAAAGCCGGAUUAAUACCGCAUACGCUCUACGGAGGAAAGGGGGGGAUCUCAGGACCUCCCGCUACAGGGGCGGCCGAUGGCAGAUUAGCUAGUUGGUGGGGUAAAGGCCUACCAAGGCGACGAUCUGUAGCUGGUCUGAGAGGACGACCAGCCACACUGGGACUGAGACACGGCCCAGACUCCUACGGGAGGCAGCAGUGGGGAAUUUUGGACAAUGGGCGAAAGCCUGAUCCAGCAAUGCCGCGUGUGUGAAGAAGGCCUUCGGGUUGUAAAGCACUUUUGUCCGGAAAGAAAACCUCCGCCCUAAUAUGGUGGGGGGAUGACGGUACCGGAAGAAUAAGCACCGGCUAACUACGUGCCAGCAGCCGCGGUAAUACGUAGGGUGCAAGCGUUAAUCGGAAUUACUGGGCGUAAAGCGUGCGCAGGCGGUCCGCUAAGACAGAUGUGAAAUCCCCGGGCUUAACCUGGGAACUGCAUUUGUGACUGGCGGGCUAGAGUAUGGCAGAGGGGGGUAGAAUUCCACGUGUAGCAGUGAAAUGCGUAGAGAUGUGGAGGAAUACCGAUGGCGAAGGCAGCCCCCUGGGCCAAUACUGACGCUCAUGCACGAAAGCGUGGGGAGCAAACAGGAU
rnacentral:rRNA from 1 species